GUACACAAAAAUGCACAUAUUGUGAGCUCGAUGAGUAGGGCGGGACACGUGGUAUCCUGUCUGAAUAUGGGGGGACCAUCCUCCAAGGCUAAAUACUCCUGACUGACCGAUAGUGAACCAGUACCGUGAGGGAAAGGCGAAAAGAACCCCGGCGAGGGGAGUGAAAAAGAACCUGAAACCGUGUACGUACAAGCAGUGGGAGCCUCUUUAUGGGGUGACUGCGUACCUUUUGUAUAAUGGGUCAGCGACUUAUAUUCUGUAGCAAGGUUAACCGAAUAGGGGAGCCGAAGGGAAACCGAGUCUUAACUGGGCGUUAAGUUGCAGGGUAUAGACCCGAAACCCGGUGAUCUAGCCAUGGGCAGGUUGAAGGUUGGGUAACACUAACUGGAGGACCGAACCGACUAAUGUUGAAAAAUUAGCGGAUGACUUGUGGCUGGGGGUGAAAGGCCAAUCAAACCGGGAGAUAGCUGGUUCUCCCCGAAAGCUAUUUAGGUAGCGCCUCGUGAAUUCAUCUCCGGGGGUAGAGCACUGUUUCGGCAAGGGGGUCAUCCCGACUUACCAACCCGAUGCAAACUGCGAAUACCGGAGAAUGUUAUCACGGGAGACACACGGCGGGUGCUAACGUCCGUCGUGAAGAGGGAAACAACCCAGACCGCCAGCUAAGGUCCCAAAGUCAUGGUUAAGUGGGAAACGAUGUGGGAAGGCCCAGACAGCCAGGAUGUUGGCUUAGAAGCAGCCAUCAUUUAAAGAAAGCGUAAUAGCUCACUGGUCGAGUCGGCCUGCGCGGAAGAUGUAACGGGGCUAAACCAUGCACCGAAGCUGCGGCAGCGACACUAUGUGUUGUUGGGUAGGGGAGCGUUCUGUAAGCCUGUGAAGGUGGCCUGUGAGGG
rnacentral:rRNA from 2 species